AACGCGAAGAACCUUACCUACCCUUGACAUCCUUGGGAUUUUGCAGAGAUGCGAGAGUGCCGAAAGGAACCAAGAGACAGGUGCUGCAUGGCUGUCGUCAGCUCGUGUUGUGAGAUGUUGGGUUAAGUCCCGUAACGAGCGCAACCCUUAUCCUUAGUUGCCAACAUGUGAUGGUGGGGACUCUAAGGAGACUGCUGGUGAAGAACCGGAGGAAGGUGGGGACGACGUCAAGUCAUCAUGGCCUUUAUGGGUAGGGCCACACACGUGCUACAAUGGGGUGUAACAAAGGGAAGCCAACCUGCAAAGGGGAGCGAAACUCAGAAAACACGUCGUAGUCCGGAUUGGAGUCUGCAACUCGACUCCAUGAAGAUGGAAUCGCUAGUAAUCGCGAAUCAGAAUGUCGCGGUGAAUACGUUCCCGGGCCUUGUACACACCGCUAGUC
rnacentral:rRNA from 1 species